AUUAUUCAGGGUGUAAUCGGAUACGGUCGAGAUGCUAGGAUUGCUAUUGACGAUAUCUCCUUCUCAUGGGACUGUGUACGAGAAGUUGACGGAAGUGUCCGCCUAGUUGACGGUUCCAGGUUUGACGAAGGCCGUGUGGAGAUCUACUACAACCACCGCUGGGGAACCAUCUGUAACAUCGGCUGGACACAGACUAGCGCUGAUGUGGUGUGUGCUCAACUGGGGUACAGGGCGUCUGUCUGGACAGAUUCUAGGUAUCCUGCGCCUGAUUCAACACCCAUCCUACUAGAUGACGUCACUUGCGACACCAGGAACAAGUCUAGAAUCUCGGAAUGUCGCACGAAGCCGUGGGAAAACUGGAGUCCACUUUGCAACCAUGCCAAAGAUGUGUCUGUCAGAUGUGUAGGUCAGUGGCAUCAAUGCAGACCAGACCAGUUUGUAUGUGACAACGCUGUCUGUCUGCCUCAAACUGCCCAGUGUGACUUCACAGACGACUGUGGGGAUCGGAGUGAUGAAAGUGAUUGU